CAUGACUUUGACAAAUAUUGCCUCUUGAAGAUGCCACUUCCUCUGCAGCUUUGGCCAUGUCCACUGACAUCUGGCUAUCACAGCCUUACCUGACCCCCUUGCAAUGCCCAGUUCCCUAAAACAGAAGGGGAUCCCAGCGCACCAUGGUAUGGUUCUGAUCUCUGCUCCCUUCUAGAUUGGGAUCGUGACAUGGAAUAUCUGGAAAUGCUGGUAAAUGGUGGUUUGAACACCUUGACAGAGGCUGGAGGCAAGUUCUCAAUGUCCCUUUCUGCACAGUAUAAUCAGUGUCAGUGUGGCAAGAGCUCACUCAUGUGCCAUUUCCCUUAAGAGUCUGAAGGUUGAUGGAUUGUGGAAACCUUGCCCUGCUCCCUUCUGGAGCUCUGAGUGAUCCCACAGCAUCAGUGGGAGGAAGGAUAAUUUAGAUGUCAAUUCUCUUCCCAUGUUCAAUGCCAGUGUCUCUUUCCAUGUGCUCUGUGCAGCCAUGGAGAAGAACAGAGAGGGAAGGAGCCAGGCCCAGGGCUGUGUCCUGGGGCUGUGCCUUAUGCAGCUCCUUUGCCAACCUCAGGGAGCCUGAGCUGCUCUCGCUGCCACUGCCAAGCCCUGGCCUUGCCUGGGGCUCAGUUCAGAGCUGCUGGCAGCACAAGGGUGUCCUUUCUCCCCUGACUGCCAUGCAAGGGGCUCCUUCCAUCCCAGUGUGGGGCCACUGCAGGCACGUGGUCCCCCUGCCCCUGCUCCUGAAUGGAAGGCAGAGAUGAGGGAGUGCCUUGGAGGACAGCAGUCAUCCAGGUGCACUCACUGCCACUCCAGACCGAAGGAGAAUUCUCAGCACAGUCACGGGAGCUAUUCUAUCCUACCUUUCUUUGCAGAUCAACUUGAUGAUGAUGAUGAUGAUGAUCUGGAUUUCCAACCCAUAUCAGUUGCUGAGCCUGGUGAUGAGGAGGCUGAUGAGGGUAGGUCAAGGCCUUUCCCCCAGGGAGAGUGGCCAGCUCAGAGCCCAGAGCUCGGUCAGGGCGGCAUCGCUGCAGGUGCCAGGACAGAGUUCUGCACGUGUGUGCCCUCGGCCUGAGCGAUCCCCUCACCUCUCCUGCAGCUCAGUGCUGCCUGUGCACAUCAGCAGAGAUGACAGAAGCUUCUGUGGCUGUUCAGUUACAGGUGUGUCUGCAGGGAGGACUUUCCCAGCUCCUGGGAUGGUUACUGCACAAAAGCCCAGGUCCCAUCGGAGGGAUUCAGCCGGCACCACAACUCAUGCUCAGAAUAUCUGGGAAAGCAUGAGAAGAAUUUUCAGCCCAGGAACACAUGGUUUGAUUAAGCUAAUGGCCAUUUUGGUUGCUGGAGCCCUUUUCCUGAUGAUGUGCUGUGCUGGAAUCUGGUAUUGCUGGAACAGAAAACGGAGCACAUCUGCACCUUCAGAAGACCUAUGAAAGACUUUAGUCAAUGAGAAGUUGACCUGUCUUUCUCACUCUUUACCUCUGACCCCAUCUGCUGUUGUCCUGGUGCAGCCCUGUCUUGAGGGCAUCCCAACACCCACACCUCCAAAGCCAUACCCUCUCACCCUGAGCCCCCUGUCCCUGCACCCUGGCCAGGACUGAAGGUGGGCAGCCCCUGUCCACCAGAGCAGGCCUUGGCCCAUGUUUUAUUUUCAAAUAAAGAAAUGAAACUGUCACCCCA
ensembl:lncRNA